ACUCGUGUCAUGUAUUGUGUGGAGAUUGCCUCAAAAACAUUCAAACACAAACAUUCAGUAAAACCUAAAUAAAAUGGUGAAUCCAUUAAAAAAUAAUAAUAACAGUGGUUGCCAUAGCACCAGGACACCAUUGUCACAGAGAGAGAACCUUCCACGGAAACACCAAUUUAAAUAAAAACAAGUUGUCACAACCGUUUAUCCCUGACAGACCGUAUCAUUACAAGUUCAUCAGUUACUAACUGCAUUUGUACAAGAUCAUUGUAUACGUGUCUCCCAGCUAAUCGAUGCAGCGUGGUGGAAACAACAGGAGGCCCCGGGCCCCCCGGUACAACCAGGACCAAGCCAGGCGGCAGAAUUUUACUGUCAAAGCUUUCCCAGGUAUUCCACGUGAGGGUGUCCAAAACUACUCAGAGACCAACACAAAAAGUGAGCUUAUUCAACAACUGCAUGAGGUGACAGAGGAGCUGGCCCUUGAGAAGAGCCUGAAGGAGAUGGAGAAAGCCAGGCGUGAAGAAAUGGAGAGACUCUGGAGGGCUGGUGAACCAGAGACGAUGAACACCUUUGGGAUUGCCAGUGGGGUUUGCAGCACCCUCAAAACCAAGAAGGAGAAGGAACUUCAAAUGGAAUUUGAGAACCUGCAAAUGUCUCAUAUAAUCAGGGAGCAGAAAUUCUCAGCGGAGAUCCAGCUCGAGAGAGAGAGAAAUGCAGCUCUCCGUGAAGAACUUAAACAUCUUCAGACCAACUGGAGCCAUGAAGAGGAUUUAAAGAUGAAACUCAAGAUGUCCAAGGAUCUGGCAGCCAGAAAGCAGCUAAUGGUAACCAAGGAUGAUCUGCUUCGCCACAUGAAGGUGAAGAUCCAGACUCUGAAGGACAACGCCUCUGAGAUGGAGAAGACCUUUGUUAAAGACAUUGAGGACUUGAAACACCAACAGCUCUCAAGCAACCUGGAGCAUGACACCAAGCUCCACGCUGAGGAGGAGGUCAGUCAGGGCCUCAGAACGGAACUCUGCAGACUCCUAGAAGAGCAGGAGGAAAACAUUAGAAAGAAGGAAGCUCUUGAAAAGGAGGAGGUCAGUCAGGGCCUCAGAACGGAACUCUGCAGACUCCUAGAAGAGCAGGAGGAAAACAUCAGAAAGAAGGAAGCUCUUGAAAAGGAGGUGGUGGCAUUGCAGGACAACAUCAACGUCAGCCACAAUCUCCAGACUGACCUUGAGGAGGUGAAAGAAGAGAACCGAGUCAAUACCAGGGAACAAGAGGAGUGUGCCGUCCACGACUCACCAACCAAGGCCUAAUGUGAUUGGAUGUACCACUGUUUCCCCUAAAGGAAUAAUAUAGAUAUAUAUAAAUACAUUUAAUUGAAAUGAAAGCUGUAAGGGUCCU
ensembl:lncRNA